UACGGAGGGGGCUAGCGUUGUUCGGAAUUACUGGGCGUAAAGCGCGCGUAGGCGGACCUGCAAGUCGGGGGUGAAAGCCCGAGGCUCAACCUCGGAACUGCCUUCGAUACUGCGGGUCUCGAGUCCGGGAGAGGUGAGUGGAAUUCCUAGUGUAGAGGUGAAAUUCGUAGAUAUUAGGAAGAACACCAGUGGCGAAGGCGGCUCACUGGGACGGUACUGACGCUAAGGCGCGAAAGCGUGGGGAGCGAACAGG
rnacentral:rRNA from 1 species